AGUGAACGCUGGCGGUAGGCCUAACACAUGCAAGUCGAACGGCAGCACAGUAAGAGCUUGCUCUUACGGGUGGCGAGUGGCGGACGGGUGAGGAAUACAUCGGAAUCUACUUUUUCGUGGGGGAUAACGUAGGGAAACUUACGCUAAUACCGCAUACGACCUACGGGUGAAAGCAGGGGAUCUUCGGACCUUGCGCGAUUGAAUGAGCCGAUGUCGGAUUAGCUAGUUGGCGGGGUAAAGGCCCACCAAGGCGACGAUCCGUAGCUGGUCUGAGAGGAUGAGCAGCCACACUGGAACUGAGACACGGUCCAGACUCCUACGGGAGGCAGCAGUGGGGAAUAUUGGACAAUGGGCGGAAGCCUGAUCCAGCCAUACCGCGUGGGUGAAGAAGGCCUUCGGGUUUUAAAGCCCUUUUGUUGGGGAAGAAAAGCAGCAGGUUAAUACCCCGCUGUUCUGACGGUACCCAAAGAAUAAGCACCGGCUAACUUCGUG
rnacentral:rRNA from 1 species